rnacentral:rRNA from 1 species
AGUGAACGCUGGCGGCAGGCCUAACACAUGCAAGUCGAGCGGAGCGGCGGACGGGUGAGUAAUGCCUAGGAAUCUGCCUGGUAGUGGGGGAUAACGUCCGGCAACGGGCGCUAAUACCGCAUACUAUCAGAUGAGCCUAGGUCGGAUGAGCUAGUUGGGGGGGUAAAGGCCUACCAAGGCGACGAUCCGUAACUGGUCUGAGAGGAUGAUCAGUCACACUGGAACUGAGAAACGGUCAAGACGCCUACGGUAGGCAGCAGUGGGGAAUAUUGGACCAUGGGCGAAAGCCUGAUCCAGCCCUGCCGCGUGUGUGAAGAAGGUCUUCGGAUUGUAAAGCACGUUAAGUUGGGAGGCGUUCCCAACAGAAUAAGCACCGGCUAACUGCGUGCCAGCAGCCGCGGUAAGAC